AUUGAACGCUGGCGGCAGGCCUAACACAUGCAAGUCGAGCGGAGCGGCGGACGGGUGAGUAAUGCCUAGGAAUCUGCCUGGUAGUGGGGGAUAACGUCCGGAAACGGGCGCUAAUACCGCAUACUAUCAGAUGAGCCUAGGUCGGAUUAGCUAGUUGGUGGGUUAAAGGCCUACCAAGGCGACGAUCCGUAACUGUUCUGAGAGGAGGAUCAGUCACACUGGAACUGAGACACGUUCCGUACUCAUACGGUAGGCAGCAGUGGGGAAUAUUGCACAAUGGGCACAAGCCUGAUGCAGCCAUGCCGCGUGUGUGAAGAAGGCCUUCGGGUUGUAAAGCACUUUCAGCGUGGAGGCGUUACCCGCAGAAGAAGCACCGGCUAACUCCGUGCCAGCAGCCGCGGUAAUUC
rnacentral:rRNA from 1 species